rnacentral:ncRNA from 1 species
GCCGCGAGGCGGCGUGGGGAGGGACAGCUCUUCGGCGCCGUCAGGCGCCUAGCUGGAGGCAAAGUGCGGGGCCGACGCACAGGAACCGGAUACGAGGCCAACGCGUGCGGGUAACCCGGCGAGAUACGGGGACGCCCGAUAGCCACCCGGAGCGCGCGCGGGUAAAUCCGGCGGCGACCGCAUGAAGGAUCA